CGGGGUGUAGUGUAAUGGUAGCACGAGUCCAUGGGGUGGAUUUAGUUCGAGUCCAAAUCUCGGCACCCCGA
rnacentral:tRNA from 8 species